rnacentral:rRNA from 1 species
CCUACGGGAGGCAGCAGUGGGGAAUAUUGGACAAUGGGCGAAAGCCUGAUCCAGCAAUGCCGCGUGAGUGAUGAAGGCCUUAGGGUUGUAAAGCUCUUUUACCAGGGAUGAUAAUGACAGUACCUGGAGAAUAAGCUCCGGCUAACUCCGUGCCAGCAGCCGCGGUAAUACGGAGGGAGCUAGCGUUGUUCGGAAUUACUGGGCGUAAAGCGUACGUAGGCGGUUAUUCAAGUCAGAGGUGAAAGCCUGGAGCUCAACUCCAGAACUGCCUUUGAAACUAGAUAGCUAGAAUCUUGGAGAGGUGAGUGGAAUUCCGAGUGUAGAGGUGAAAUUCGUAGAUAUUCGGAAGAACACCAGUGGCGAAGGCGACUCACUGGACAAGUAUUGACGCUGAGGUACGAAAGCGUGGGGAGCAAACAGGAUUAGAUACCCUGGUAGUCCACGCCGUAAACGAUGAUAACUAGCUGUUCGGGCUCUACGAGCUUGAGUGGCGCNGCUACGACAUAAGUUAGUUCCGUCCGUCGGGAGGUACGGUCGCGAGAAGUUAAACUAACAAAUAGUAAGUUAGUACGGCGUGAGACGUCGCCGACGGACGACGACGAGGGAGGUUAGG